CAAAGUUGUUUUAGCGAUCUGGUUGCAACUAAGCUAAAAGUAGACAUUUGACACAGUUUUGGACACUAAGAUAUAAACAACUCACUGGAUUGCCAUUUGCCAGCUGACCUGUGACACAGCAGCAGUGUAUUACAUUUUCAAUGAGCAGUCUGUCUGGAGCUGCUAGUGGGAGAAACUGCUUCCUGGUUUCUAGGUUCUUUGCUCUGGGGUAGUUUAAGAUAAAUAUGGUAUCUGCCUCUACAUCAGUAUUAAGGUAAGUGCCAUUCCAGUAC
rnacentral:lncRNA from 1 species